rnacentral:rRNA from 1 species
GACAGAGGUGCCAAGCGUUAGGCGGAAUCACUGGGCUUAAAGCGUGUGUAGGCGGAAUGGUAAGUACCUUGUGAAAUCCCACGGCUCAACCGUGGAACUGCUUGGUAUACUGCUUUUCUUGAGCCACUUAGGGGCUACCGGAACAAACGGUGGAGCGGUGAAAUGCGUAGAUAUCGUUUGGAACGCCAAUGGUGAAAACAGGUAGCUGGGGGAUGUGCCGACGCUGAGACACGAAAGCCAGGGGGAGCGAACGGGG